rnacentral:rRNA from 1 species
AAUCAACGCUGGCGGCGUGCCUAACACAUGCAAGUCGAACGCGAAAGCCCGCAAGGGUGAGUAGAGUGGCGCACGGGUGAGUAACACGUGGACAACCUGCCUUCGAGUGGGGAAUAACCUUCCGAAAGGAGGGCGUAAUACCGCAUAACACCUCGGGACACAAGUUCUGGGGUUGAAAAGAGCAAUUUGCUCGAAGAGGGGUCCGCGCCUGAUUAGCUAGUUGGUGAGGUAACGGCUCACCAAGGCUUCGAUCAGUAGCCGUCCUGAGAGGGAGCACGGCCACACUGGAACUGAGACACGGUCCAGACUCCUACGGGAGGGCAGCAGUGGGGG